AGAGAUGAUCAAUGACUUCAAAUGAAAAAUGGAUGGAUAGUUGAGGACAAUAAACUUGCAGGGCUAUGGGGAUAGAGCAAGCUCCUUGGAGUUGCAGUUGCUGCAGUGACCUUGUCGAUCUCCUUCAGUGAUGAGUUUGUUGUUAUCUGCAAUAUCAUAAUUGAAACCAACCGAUACACUAGAUUUCAUGAACUUGCUAUGUACAGUGGCUUAUCUAUCAGCAUCUUUUUUGCUCUCCUGGGAAUCGUCUGUCUGAUUGGAAUUGCGAAAGAGUCAAAAUACUUGCUCACUGUGGUGCUGAUCUCUUUUGCUGUCCUGUUCUGUGGAGUGGUACAGAUGAUGUACUGGAAGUCUACUUAUAAGCAUCUGGUGGAGAAUGCAGUGAAGGACGUAUACGAUUUUCUGUAUGAAGAUUUCAUGAGAAACAGUUCGACUAAUUCAAAACAGGAUUUGAUGGCCAUUCACU